rnacentral:lncRNA from 1 species
AGAUAACCAGUGCUAACAGUUGGCAGUACUUGGUAUAUGGCAGGCUCUCAUGAAUGGCAGCUUCAUCUAUAAAGUAGUUUCUGUAUUAAGUACUACAAUGGAUAUGCCUGCUCACAAAUGGGAAAAUUGUCAGCAACUGUGGCUUGUUGCAGUACAGCUGGGGUGAGACCAAAGAGUAGGAGGACAGCAAGCUGGCGCUUUGAGGACCCCUCUGCCAACAGCUUCUUGCCAGGGCUGGGCUAAGCCAGCAUGCCCCUCUUUAACCAUAAGGCUGUUCUCUGCUCUUCCCAGACACCGGUCCAUUUCACAGUCAAGUGGAAAGAACAUAAACUAGGGCUCAGCCUGAGUCUGACUCUACCAUUAGGCAAAUCAUUGAACCUCUUUAGAUAAGCUUUCCCACCUCACAGAGUAAGGCAUCAAAUGAGACAAAGGAAAGAUCUGUUAAAGCACUAAAACUCUCAUUGAAUAAGACAGAGAUUUUCUUGUCUUGGCAACAGUCUUGAUGCUCAAGGGAUAAACCUGGCUACUCAGUUCUUCAACCACAAGAUGCAUGUGACUCCAGAAGAGUGGAGAAAAAGGGAAAGGGGUAGAGUGAUUCCAAUAACGAGUCAAAAGUACCACAUGGGAGAGAGGGAUAAGUACAAGAUUUGAGUGUGUCAGAAGGUAUAUAUGUCAAAGCAGAAUGUGACCUGCCUGGGUCUCACACUUGCCAGGAAUGGACCUGUCCACCCACCUGGGGGACGAGAGCUGAGUUGGAGCCCAGGAACCCUAACAGAUGCAGUUCCAAUUUAGCAACAAGAAGAAGUCCUCUCCAAGGCAACCCAGGCGAACAUACCGCCCACUGGGCUGGACUAAAAAUACACCCGCAUGGUUUUAACGUCACACCUGAAGUAAAAAUACAUCCAACCAGGGCUGCUGGCUCGUUCCCUCCAUCACCACUCUCUUCUCUCCAUCUGGUGCCUCUGAGGGGAGGAGAAGCAGUGGGCUGGCCUGGGCAAGCACCUUGCUUCACACCCUCUCCCAUCCCUUUAAGGUCCCACCACCCCCUCCCUGUACACAUACUCCAGCUCAGCCCCGCAUGAGGCAGGUCGUUUUGUAGCAACUGUGGCUAGAAGCAGCCAGAUGGCCAAUCUGCUCUGGGUCCCCAAGUACGGAUAGAUUGUCAGCCUGAAGGAUCUCAGGGAUCCUGUCUCAGAGCCCACAUUCCCAUGGUCGUUGCUUGCUUUAUGCAUUCACCCAUUCAUUCAUUCCCAUUCACUGAUCCAUCACAUUUUACUGACCCUCUGCUCUGUGCUGCAUGCUGCACCUAGCUCUUAGCAGUUCCAAAGGAUGAACUGAGGUCUCUGACUGCAGGUAGUGAGGAAGACAGAUCGGUGCACAACAAACUGUGGCUACUAGAAUGUAACAAGUAUCACAGGGAAAUAAAAAUAAAUCCUUACUGAUAGUGCUUUUUUUGGUCAAAAGAAAAUGAAGUUUUGAGUUCUAAAAAAAAAUAGUAAGAUUCUCCCC